CUCUUUGUGCACCCGCCCACACGGUUUGCCGUGUUUUCACCCUUCUUUGUUCUCCACCGGUCUGGGCAGGGUCUGAGGACUCCGGAGAGCAAGGCAUGGGUCCGCCUCGUGCCGCAGGUUCCUGGCCCACGCCAGCCGUACCCAGUAGCACAAUGGUAAGCGCAUGCUGGCGAGAGGUAGGCGGUGUGAGGAGGGGCUGGUUUCGGGGAGAGGACAGUAAUGAUGAUUUCUGGUGAUUCUGAGUGUCUCGCUGACGCCAUCACCGCAGCGCGCUGACCGUCCCCGGGUCCAAAAUCGGCAGUGGCGUGGGUUUUGAGUGGCCUAGAGUUCUGAGUAAUUUACCUCUGUGUCUUGCUUUCUGGUAGGGAUUUGAGGACACACGCCAGCUGCCUACACCUGAAGAAAGGGUGAGCUCUGAGGACUUCACAGGGGCCCCAUCCCCUCACCUAGAUGAGGGCUAACCUUGGAAUCCAGACAAAGGUGGAAGUGACCUAGAUGUGACCUGAAUGAGCUAAUCAUCUAAUGAGAGCCAGCCCUUUGUCCUGCCCACAUGAAGGUGGGUGGUUAGCUCACUUUUCAGGGUAAUAAAGCAGUAAAGGCGGGGUGGAGGGGUUGUUGAAGGCUUUGUAUGAUGUCACUAGGGCCUGUAAAGUUAGCACAAUGAACCCGCUGUGCAGAUUGUAAAGCUGACCUUGUUGGAAUAUCCUGGUUUUAGAAACACAUAAAUCAGCUUUGUGUUUGCUGUUCCCCUGCUGAAAAUGUUCUUCUGAAUUUUCAGGGCUUUGCUGCUACGCACUGACAAGUUGGACGGCUUUUUAUUGCUUUGUUGCCAGUUAUCUGAACAUGAGAGGCUGUAAGGUGUAAUCUGCGAGCCCUGCGCCCAGACUGAACCAGGGCCUCCCUUGAACAUGAGUAUUAGACAAAUGAAAUAAGAACUUAUCUUGCCCAGACUAUAUAAUGGCUUGGAAAUGCAUAGUUUCCUGAACGAUCUCAAUAAAAUACUUUUAAAAGUACUUAAA
rnacentral:lncRNA from 1 species